CCCGCUGAACUUAAGCAUAUCAAUAAGCGGAGGAAAAGAAACUAACAAGGAUUCCCCUAGUAACUGCGAGUGAAGCGGGAAAAGCUCAAAUUUAAAAUCUGGCGGUCCUUGCGGCCGUCAAAGUUGUAAUUUAGAGAAGUGUCGUCCGCGAUCGAGCAUAUACGACUCUCCUGGAAUGCAGCGUCAUAGAGAAUGAGAAUGCAGUAUGUGAUACGAAAGGGCAAGACAUCGUUAUGCGAUAUGAAAGAGUGGAGUUGUUUGAGAAUCUAGCUCAAAAUGGAUGGUAAAUUCCAUGUAGAUCAAAAUAGUGAGGAGAGACCGAUAGCGAACAAGUACCGUGAAGAAAAGAAGAAAAAACAUUUGGAAAGAGAGAUAAACAAUAAGCGAAAUGGAAAAAAAGGAAACCAUUGAAGUCAGUCGCGUAGAUCAGGACUCAGCCAGUCUGUGCUGGGUGUACGUCCUGUUCGACGGGUCAGCAUCAAUCUUGGUCGGUGGAUAAAGGCUAAGAUAAUGUGGCAUCGUCGGAUGUGUGAUAGAUAUAGGUGGCAUACAUGGGCUGGGAAUAAGGAACUCAACACACCGCAAGGCCGGGUACAUUGAAUCAGGUACGAGCUUAGGAUGCUGGCAUAAUGGCUUUAAUCGACCCGUCUUGAAACACGG
rnacentral:rRNA from 1 species